rnacentral:rRNA from 1 species
CCUACGGGAGGCAGCAGUGGGGGAUAUUGGACAAUGGGGGGAACCCUGAUCCAGCGACGCCGCAUGAGUGAAGAAGUAUCUCGGUAUGUAAAGCUCUAUCAGCAGGGAAGAAGAAAUGACGGUACCUGAGUAAGAAGCCCCGGCUACCUACGUGCCAGCAGCCUCGGUAAUACGGAGGGGGCAAGCGUUUACCGGAAUUACUGGGUGUAAAGGGAGCGUAGGGGGUGAUGUAAGUCUGGAGUGAAAGGCGGGGGGCUAACCCCCGGACGGCGGUGGAAACUAUGUGACUGGAGUGCAGGAGAGGUGAGCGGAAUGCGUAGUGUAGCGGUGAAAUGCGUAGAUAUUAGGAGGAACACCAGUGGCGAAGGCGGCUCACUGGACUGUAACUGACGUUGAGGCUCGAAAGCGUGGGGAGCGAACAGGAUUAGAUACCCCAGUAGUC